UCCGAGUUGACCCCGGCAGUCUCCUAUGAGUCCCCGCCAUCACGCGCUGGCAACAUAGAACGAGGGUUGCGCUCGUUGCGGGACUUAACCCAACGUCUCACGACACGAGCUGACGACAGCCAUGCAGCACCUGUGUGCAGGUCCCGUAAGGGAAGGAGUCCAUCUCUGGAAACCGUCCUGCCAUGUCAAACGCUGGUAAGGUUCUGCGCGUUGCUUCGAAUUAAACCACAUGCUCCACCGCUUGUGCAGGCCCCCGUCAAUUUCUUUGAGUUUUAACCUUGCGGCCGUACUCCCCAGGCGGAUGACUUAACGCGUUAGCUGCGCCACCGAAGCUCCAAGAGCCCCGACAGCUAGUCAUCAUCGUUUACGGCGUGGACUAC
rnacentral:misc_RNA from 1 species